UUUUAAAAUAAGGCACCCUGAACGAGCCCAAUCUUGUCUGAUCUCAGAAGCUAAGCAGGGUCGGGCCUGGUUAGUACUUGGAUGGGAGACCACCUAGAAAGAUCAGGUGCUGUAGGCA
rnacentral:rRNA from 1 species